rnacentral:snoRNA from 1 species
ACAUCGUGAUGAUAAAAUUUGAAUUUGUCCGAUUAAUUUUAUGAAAGGAUUAAUAACCUCCUACUCAUGCUAA